GGGAAGGUGGAAAGGGGUCCCCCAUGUCCCACAAAUUGACUAGAAACCUGGAUGCAGCAACAGGAUGGGCUGCAGGAGCAGCAUCAGCUUCAGGAAGAGGAGCCGUGCAGGAUAGGCAACCCCAGCUCGGCAGUGGCUCUGAGGAAGAUUGGCUGGGGCUGGAUGAUGUAGUGAUGCUGAAAUCAUUUAAGCUUGUUAUGGUGGUUUCUAUGGCUCUCUGGCUGGAUGUAACAAAUUGUCUGCAUCAUUUUCCAGAUGGAUCAUUCUUAAAUCAUCCAGGACAGGCUUCAGGGCUCCGCACUGAAGCAGCGGAAGGCACUUUGGUUCAAUAAAUGCUGGAACGGUUCUGUAUCAAGUGCUAUUUCCUAUUAAAAGUGCAGGUACCAGCCCCCAGCACGUGUCCAGCUCCUGGUGGAUGGCGCAGCCCAAGCAAGCCUGAAGAAAACCUCUUAUUAAAAUUGGAAUUAGCUGACCCCUUAUUAUUACUAGCUGACCCCUUAUUUCGAUUAGCUGACCCCUCUCUGUGAGGAGAGCUGCAGCCACAAUCCCUCAGUAAGUUCUGCUGCAGAACAGAGGGUUUCUCACUGCUGCCCUCGCUGAAGCAGCCCAUGGGUCAUGCCAUGACGGGGUUCUGGGGUUGAGAUGACCCCGAGGUAAUAAAAAGUCUUUUUGCUCCCAGCCUGA